UUUCCGUAGGUGAACCUGCGGAAGGAUCAUUAUUGUAUAACCGAGGUGCGAGGGCUGUCGCUGACCCGAAAGGUCGUGCACGCCCGAGUGCCCUCACACACAUCCACCUCACCCCUAUGUGCACCACCGCGUGGGUCCCCCUUUGGCUUGUUCGGAGGGGGGCUUACGUUUUCACACAAACUUUGUAUGCAGUGUAGAAUGUAUUUUUUGUUUUUGCGAUCACGCAAUCAAUACAACUUUCAACAACGGAUCUCUUGGCUCUCGUAUCGAUGAAGAACGCAGC
rnacentral:misc_RNA from 1 species